GACCUAUAUAAAAAGGACAAUUUUUGGCAGUAUUUCAUCAGAAUCUGAAUAGCUGCCAUCAGUUAAAGUUGUAAAAGUUAGCAAAUUAAAAAUUUAUUGUACAAAAUGAAAUUGGUACUUAGCUUGGUAUUGGUGAUGUUGGCGGUUGUAAGCUUAGAAGCUACAUUUGUUGAACCCUUUGAUCCCAACGCAGUCUUUGUACCGACUGUCAGUUUUUGCAAGUCGUUGUGCAUAUGGGGUGGCGUCUGUCCAUACGCUCCCUUACUUCUACCAGGAUGGGAUUGUAAGCCAGGUUAUUGUCGUUUAUUCAAAGGCGAUGUCUGCUUACCGCUUCUACCAACUACUACUACAACAACUACUACAACAACAACAACUACUACCGUUGCUCCAACUGUUUAAUUGUGCUCUGAAAUCAGA